GAUUCGUCACACUAUCAUUAACUGAAUCCAUAGGUUAAUGAGGCGAACCGGGGGAACUGAAACAUCUAAGUACCCCGAGGAAAAGAAAUCAACCGAGAUUCCCCCAGUAGCGGCGAGCGAACGGGGAGGAGCCCAGAGCCUGAAUCAGCAUGUGUGUUAGUGGAAGCGUCUGGAAAGGCGCGCGAUACAGGGUGACAGCCCCGUACACAAAAGCGCAUGUGCUGUGAGCUCGAUGAGUAGGGCGGGACACGUGGUAUCCUGUCUGAAUAUGGGGGGACCAUCCUCCAAGGCUAAAUACUCCUGACUGACCGAUAGUGAACCAGUACCGUGAGGGAAAGGCGAAAAGAACCCCGGCGAGGGGAGUGAAAAAGAACCUGAAACCGUGUACGUACAAGCAGUGGGAGCACCCUUCGGGGUGUGACUGCGUACCUUUUGUAUAAUGGGUCAGCGACUUAUAUUCUGUAGCAAGGUUAACCGUAUAGGGGAGCCGGAGGGAAACCGAGUCUUAAUUGGGCGUUAAGUUGCAGGGUAUAGACCCGAAACCCGGUGAUCUAGCCAUGGGCAGGUUGAAGGUUGGGUAACACUAACUGGAGGACCGAACCGACUAAUGUUGAAAAAUUAGCGGAUGACCUGUGGCUGGGGGUGAAAGGCCAAUCAAACCGGGAGAUAGCUGGUUCUCCCCGAAAGCUAUUUAGGUAGCGCCUCGUGAAUUCAUCUCCGGGGGUAGAGCACUGUUUCGGCUAGGGGGCCAUCCCGGCUUACCAACCCGAUGCAAACUGCGAAUACCGGAGAAUGUUAUCACGGGAGACACACGGCGGGUGCUAACGUCCGUCGUGAAGAGGGAAACAACCCAGACCGCCAGCUAAGGUCCCAAAGUCAUGGUUAAGUGGGAAACGAUGUGGGAAGGCCCAGACAGCCAGGAUGUUGGCUUAGAAGCAGCCAUCAUUUAAAGAAAGCGUAAUAGCUCACUGGUCGAGUCGGCCUGCGCGGAAGAUGUAACGGGGCUAAACCAUGCACCGAAGCUGCGGCAGCGAACGUAUCACCCAAGACAACUUUACGGAGUUGACGAUUGACGGAGCGAAGCGACGUCAAAGCGUUCAUUAAAGUCGAGUUGGCUUAGGGAUACGUUCGUUGGGUAGGGGAGCGUUCUGUAAGCCUGUGAAGGUGUGUCGUGAGGCAUGCUGGAGGUAUCAGAAGUGCGAAUGCUGACAUAAGUAACGAUAAAGCGGGUGAAAAGCCCGCUCGCCGGAAGACCAAGGGUUCCUGUCCAACGUUAAUCGGGGCAGGGUGAGUCGACCCCUAAGGCGAGGCCGAAAGGCGUAGUCGAUGGGAAACGGGUUAAUAUUCCCGUACUUGGUGUUACUGCGAAGGGGGGACGGAGAAGGCUAUGUUGGCCGGGCGACGGUUGUCCCGGUUUAAGCGUGUAGGUGUGUGUUCCAGGUAAAUCCGGUUCACUUUAACACUGAGGCGUGACGACGAGGCACUACGGUGCUGAAGCAACAAAUGCCCUGCUUCCAGGAAAAGCCUCUAAGCAUCAGGUAACACGAAAUCGUACCCCAAACCGACACAGGUGGUCAGGUAGAGAAUACCAAGGCGCUUGAGAGAACUCGGGUGAAGGAACUAGGCAAAAUGGUGCCGUAACUUCGGGAGAAGGCACGCUGACACGUAGGUGAAGUGAUUUACUCAUGGAGCUGAAGUCAGUCGAAGAUACCAGCUGGCUGCAACUGUUUAUUAAAAACACAGCACUGUGCAAACACGAAAGUGGACGUAUACGGUGUGACGCCUGCCCGGUGCCGGAAGGUUAAUUGAUGGGGUCAGCGCAAGCGAAGCUCCUGAUCGAAGCCCCGGUAAACGGCGGCCGUAACUAUAACGGUCCUAAGGUAGCGAAAUUCCUUGUCGGGUAAGUUCCGACCUGCACGAAUGGCGUAAUGAUGGCCAGGCUGUCUCCACCCGAGACUCAGUGAAAUUGAACUCGCUGUGAAGAUGCAGUGUACCCGCGGCAAGACGGAAAGACCCCGUGAACCUUUACUAUAGCUUGACACUGAACAUUGAGCCUUGAUGUGUAGGAUAGGUGGGAGGCUUUGAAGUGUGGACGCCAGUCUGCAUGGAGCCGACCUUGAAAUACCACCCUUUAAUGUUUGAUGUUCUAACGUGGACCCGUAAUCCGGGUUGCGGACAGUGUCUGGUGGGUAGUUUGACUGGGGCGGUCUCCUCCUAAAGAGUAACGGAGGAGCACGAAGGUUGGCUAAUCCUGGUCGGACAUCAGGAGGUUAGUGCAAUGGCAUAAGCCAGCUUGACUGCGAGCGUGACGGCGCGAGCAGGUGCGAAAGCAGGUCAUAGUGAUCCGGUGGUUCUGAAUGGAAGGGCCAUCGCUCAACGGAUAAAAGGUACUCCGGGGAUAACAGGCUGAUACCGCCCAAGAGUUCAUAUCGACGGCGGUGUUUGGCACCUCGAUGUCGGCUCAUCACAUCCUGGGGCUGAAGUAGGUCCCAAGGGUAUGGCUGUUCGCCAUUUAAAGUGGUACGCGAGCUGGGUUUAGAACGUCGUGAGACAGUUCGGUCCCUAUCUGCCGUGGGCGCUGGAGAACUGAGGGGGGCUGCUCCUAGUACGAGAGGACCGGAGUGGACGCAUCACUGGUGUUCGGGUUGUCAUGCCAAUGGCACUGCCCGGUAGCUAAAUGCGGAAGAGAUAAGUGCUGAAAGCAUCUAAGCACGAAACUUGCCCCGAGAUGAGUUCUCCCUGAGACUUAGAGUCUCCUGAAGGAACGUUGAAGACGACGACGUUGAUAGGCC
rnacentral:rRNA from 1 species